rnacentral:rRNA from 1 species
AACGAACGCUGGCGGCAUGCCUAACACAUGCAAGUCGAACGAGACCUUCGGGUCUAGUGGCGCACGGGUGCGUAACGCGUGGGAACCUGCCCUUAGGUUCGGAAUAACUCCCCGAAAGGGGUGCUAAUACCGGAUAAUGUCUUCGGACCAAAGAUUUAUCGCCUUUGGAUGGGCCCGCGUUGGAUUAGCUAGUUGGUAGGGUAAAAGCCUACCAAGGCGACGAUCCAUAGCUGGUCUGAGAGGAUGAUCAGCCACACUGGGACUGAGACACGGCCCAGACUCCUACGGGAGGCAGCAGUGGGGAAUAUUGGACAAUGGGCGAAAGCCUGAUCCUGCAAUGCCGCGUGAGUGAUGAAGGCCUUAGGGUUGUAAAGCUCUUUUACCCGGGAUGAUAAUGACAGUACCGAGAGAAUAAGCUCCGGCUAACUCCGUG